GGGGAUUUAGCUCAGUGGUAGAGCGCUUGCCUAGCAAACGCAAGGCCUUGGGUUCAGUCCUCA
rfam:Rattus norvegicus chromosome 3, whole genome shotgun sequence.